rnacentral:rRNA from 1 species
UACGGAGGGUGCAAGCGUUAAUCGGAAUUACUGGGCGUAAAGCGUGCGCAGGCGGUUUGUUAAGUCUGUUGUGAAAUCCCCGAGCUCAACUUGGGAAUUGCAAUGGAUACUGGCAGGCUGGAGUAUGGUAGAGGAAGGUGGAAUUCCCGGUGUAGCAGUGAAAUGCGUAGAGAUCGGGAGGAACACCAGUGGCGAAGGCGGCCUUCUGGACCAAUACUGACGCUGAGGCACGAAAGCGUGGGGAGCAAACAGG